GACGAACGCUGGCGGCGUGCUUAACACAUGCAAGUCGAACGGUGAAGCUCCAGCUUGCUGGAGUGGAUCAGUGGCGAACGGGUGAGUAACACGUGAGCAACCUGCCCCUGACUCUGGAAUAAGCGCUGGAAACGGCGUCUAAUACUGGAUACGAGAAGGGUCCGCAUGGGCACUUUCUGGAAAGUUUUUCGGUUGGGGAUGGGCUCGCGGCCUAUCAGCUUGUUGGUGAGGUAAUGGCUCACCAAGGCGACGACGGGUAGCCGGCCUGAGAGGGCGACCGGCCACACUGGGACUGAGACACGGCCCAGACUCCUACGGGAGGCAGCAGUGGGGAAUAUUGCACAAUGGGCGAAAGCCUGAUGCAGCGACGCCGCGUGAGGGAUGACGGCCUUCGGGUCGUAAACCUCUUUCAGCAGGGAAGAAGCGAAAGUGACGGUACCUGCAGAAGAAGCACCGGCUAACUACGUG
rnacentral:rRNA from 1 species